GGCCAUUGCUGGCUUAUUUCUACUUAGUUUGCUCAUUUCUGCUCAAAUUGCUGGCGUUUUCUUCAAAAGCGGCUAAACUUAAUUGGAAUCAGCUGGGGAGCGCUAGAAUCGCUCCGGCGGCCCUGAGCAGCCCCACGGCAGUGCCCACGUGCGUAUUGUACCGCCUCUACUAUUUGCAGCACUUUCAGAGGUUUUUGAGGCUUUUGGAGAGGUUUCCCUGCCUCCUGCUGCUGUUUGGAGAAUUGUGGCUGCAGAUUUCUGGCGCGAAGGCUUUUCCGCGCCCGAUUUUGCCGCGCUUUUAAGCCCUUUGGCUAGCGGCCAUUUCCUGCCUCCUGAGUAAUCUUCCUGGCUCCUGGAUUCUACUCUGCUUCUCUCCUGGCGCAGUGAGUUACCUGAACCACCAAUUAUCCCCUGUGGGUGCAUUUAAGGGUGAUUUCUAUCCUUUGCAUUUAUUCUGAGCUGUAAAAGUAAAUUUCUGCUCUAUCAUGGCUGAUGCUAGGAGCAAUAAAUCCCAAAGCAAAGGAAAAAGGGGCCAUUCUUCUGAUCCUAAAGAAAGUUCCUCAGGGGAUUCUGUUCCUCCCAAGGCAGCCAGAGUUUCUACUAGAUCCACUCACUCCAAGAGUGCUAAUAUUGCUGCAUCAUCAAGAGAAGAGACCAGGAGGCAUAAGGCCAUGGAAAAGGCCUUUCAAAAAGCUGCUUCAGAGGCCUCUAGAGUUUCAUCUCCUUCUGUGGGGCCUUCUAAAUCUCCUGCCCUCCCCACUUCCAAUGUGGCUGUUCCUUCUUCCCAAAUUCAAAUUGAACAUGAUUUUUCUCCUGAUCAGUCUACUCUGGGUGAGAAUGUAGCUGCUGAUGCUUCUUCAGUUUUUCCUGCUGCUAGGCCUCUAUCUCCAAUUGUUUCUAUUCAGCCCCCCCCAAGGCAAGAAUUUCCUAAGGCUCAAGCCCAAUCCAGCAUUCAGGGGGCUGAGGCUCCUGUAAAUUUAACUCCUGCCCUAGCUGAACUUAUUUCUGUUUCAAUUAGGCAGGGUAUUGCUGAAGGCCUUCAGCAAAGAGCCUCUUCUGAGGCCUCCAGUUAUGUGAGUCAGCAGAGUCGUUCUGUGAGGGCCCAGGCUGUUGCUGAUCCUGUGCAAUAUGAAGAAAGGGUGGAUUCCCCGGAAAAUGCAAGUCAAGGUUCCCUGUCUGAGGGGGAAAUUGCCCCUGAUCAAGAUCUCUCGGAUGAUGAAGGUCUAGAACCAGACCAGCCUUCCUUCAUUGGUCUUUUCAAGCCUCAAUUAUUCAGAUCCCUUUUAUUUAAAGCUCAAAAUGUUACUGGCCUGGGAAUUUCUUCUACUCCUUCCUCUCAAGGGGCUUCUACAUCUUCUUCUCAGCAUCCCUCUUCAUCAUUAUUAUUUCAGGAACCUUCCAUUCGUGCAGAGGUCGUUCCAGCUCCCAAGCUGUUUUCUGAUGUCGUUCAAAGACAGUGGUCUUCUCCUAGUUCUGGCCCGGUUCCCAAUGGUCUAGAUAAAAGAUUUUAUAAUAUGGCAUCUGAUUUUGCUAAUAUUCUUCAAGUUCCUUCUGUAGAUGCUCCCGUUGUCGCUCUCUCUUCUGCAUCUCCUCUUACUGGUCCGUCAGAGGAAUUCCUGCGCCCUGAAGAUAAGAAGUUUGAACGCUCCUUGGUCAAGGACCACCAGGCCUCAGCUUGGUCCAUUCAGGCCUCCUCGGCCGCUUCCUUUUUUAACAGGACCUCCAUCCUUUGGCUUCGCCAACUACAGGAAAGGCUGCCUCCUUCUGAUAUGCGAUCUCACCAGGACAUCAACAAGAUCCUAGCUGCUGUUGAGUUCUCUGCUGAUGCUACUCUGAAUGCGGCAAGGUUUUCAGCUAAGGCUAUCAGGGCUUCAGUCACUUCUCGUAGGCUUCUGUGGCUUCGUCAGUGGCAGGCAGAUGUUCGGAACAAGUGGAGACUGGCAUCAGCUCCUUUCUCGGGGAACAAGCUCUUCGGCCCAGUCUUGGAUCCACUCCUCAUCGAGACAAAGGAUCAUUGCAAGAUUCUGCCCGCCUUAUCGAGAAGAUAUGAUCCUCGUCAGCAGGGUUCCUUUCGAAGCCAUUCCUUUCGCUCCGACUUCUCUUCCUUCCAGUCCAGGCCUCAGCGGUACUCUCAGCCCAGGGGCGGACAACAGCAGGAUUUCCAGGAGCACGUCAGAGGCCAGAGUCCCCUUGACUCCUCAAGUUCUCCGGUCCUUGGCAUGGUGGACCUCUCCGGCUCUUGCUCAGGGAUGCCUGUUCAGAAUGCCUCAGCGCGUGAGCAUUACCACGGACGCGAGCCUCUUCGGAUAGGGGGCUCACCUGGGGUCUCAGCUGGCCCGAGGGCAGUGGUCGGUCCAGGAGAGGGGACUUCACAUCAACAUCUUGGAGCUCAGAGCCAUCUUCCGAGCUCUUCGCAAGUUCGCUCCUCUCCUUCGAGGUCUGGACGUCUUGAUCAGAACAGACAACGUAGCUGCCAAGGCCCACAUCAACCGGCAGCGAGGGACCCGCUCCAAGGCUCUCAUGAGGGAGGCAUCUCGUCUCUUCAGGUGGGCGGAGAGUCACUUGGCAUCCAUUCACGCCUCUCACAUCUCAGGGUCAGCAAAUGUUCAGGCGGACGCUCUCAGUCGCUCGGUGGUGGACUAGACGGAGUGGAGCCUCGAUCCACUUCUGUUCCAGGACAUCGUGCAUCGCUUCGGCCUUCCAGCAGUGGACCUCUUCGCGUCCAAAUCCAACCACCAGCUUCCAAGGUUUUACACGAGAUUUCCUGUCCCGGGAGCCGAAGCUGUGGACGCAUUGAUCAGCCCGUGGCCUUGUGGUCUUCUUCUCUAUGCUUUCCAACCUCUUCCCCUCAUCUCCAGGGUCAUCAGGAAGCUGUUGCAGGAACAAGCCGAGCUCAUCCUUCUGGCUCCCUUCUGGCCCAGACAACCAUGGUUUGCGGAUCUGAUGGCUCUCUCUGUUGCUCCCCAUUGGCAGAUCCCGGCUGACAAAAUAUCUCUGUGGCAGGUGCUGUCUAGCUCAUCCAGACCCUCAGUGGCUCCGGCUGACCGUCUGGAGGUUGAGCGGUUCCUCCUGUCCUCAGCCAGGGUGCCUUCGGAAAUAAUUUCUACGAUCCAGGCCUCUCGUCGAGGAUCAACGAACCGUAUUUACAAUACCACUUGGAUGGCCUUCUCUGCCUGGUGUCGCCGUAAGAAGGUCCUUCCUACUGCUGCUUCCAUUCUUGACAUCCUGGGCUUCCUUCAAAAGGGCUUCAAAUCGGGGCUUUCUCCCAAUACCCUCUGGAGGCAAAUCUCUGCCAUCUCAUCUAUCCUCACCUGCGGCACCGCUGAGUCUGUGUCCACUCAUCCUCUCAUCCGUUCAUUCCUCAGAGGCGCGACCAAUCUACGUCCUCUGGCUGUUCAUCAGUUUCCCACCUGGGACCUGAAUAAGGUUCUGUUAGCUCUUACUGGUCCUCCUUUUGAACCUCUCCGGGAAGUCUCGCUGAAGUUCUUGUCUUUUAAGGCAGCCUUUCUAGUGGCUAUCACCUCAGCUAGGAGGAUCUCGGAGUUGGCUGCCCUCUCAGUUUGCCAGGAUCUCUGUAUUAUUCAUGCUGAUCGAGUAGUUUUGAGAUUGGAUCCAGCUUUUAUUCCAAAGAUCAAUUCAGCUUUUCAUCGUUCUCAAGAGAUCAUUCUUCCCAACUUCUGUCCUUCCCCCCGUCAUCGCUUGGAGAAGGGGUGGCACAAACUUGAUGUUCGUCGGGCUCUCAAGAUUUAUAUCUCCAGGACUUCUUCCUUUCGUCGCUCCGAGGCUCUCUUUGUGUCUUUCCAACCCCAGUCCAUGGGGUCAAAGGUUUCUUCUACUACCUUGGGUCGAUGGCUCAGGGCUUCCAUUUCUUUAGCUUAUGAAGCUCAAUCGUUGCCAGUGCCUCAUGGUGUUACAGCCCACUCUACCAGGAGGGCGGCUACUUCGGCUGCCUGGUCUACCCAAGCUUCACUCGAGGAGGUCUGCUGAGCCGCUACUUGGACGUCUCCAUCUCCAUUUAUCCGGCAUUACCGGGUGGAUGUUUAUGCAUCGGCGGAAGCCUCCUUUGGAAGACGUGUGCUGCAGCGGGUAUCUUCCCAGGACCAGGAGAGGCGCCAGCCUUCUCCCUCCCAAUAGGUACACGGGCUUUGGUAUAUCCCUUUAGUGACUGGCGUUUCCUCCGUGACUGAGAAUGAGCGUUGGUCUUACCUGAUACGCCACUUCUAGUCACUAGGAAACGCCGGUCACCCCCUCCCAAUUGGUCCGGCACCUCUCGUGCUGGCUUUUGGCUGUUGACGGAGGGGGGAGGGUCCUGGGGAUUUUUUACCUUUCCUUUAUUUUUUACAGACACGACAGUCUACCUUUCGUCCUCGUCUCAAACUGGAUACAGGAAGAGGCGGGACUUCUUUUGUUGGUGUCGGUCCUAGAGCUACUGGCUAGGUUGUAACCCUUUAGUGACCGGCGUUUCCUAGUGACUAGAAGUGGCGUAUCAGAUACAGACCCACGUGUGUUAGAAAAACAAGAAUUACAACAACCCACAUACGUUGCUCUCAGUUACAUUAAUAGAAUGCUGCCAUUCUGAAGGCAGGUAUGGUGAUUGUUUUAAACUUUUAGCAAAUGUGCUGAUACAACAAAUUGAGGGGGAAAAACAGUUUUCUUCUCUAUUCAAGAGAAAGUGCAUUCUGAUUCAGAAGGGAUGUGCUUUCCUAUCUGCAGUCUCUUAUUGCCUUGAGUGACUGAGGAGGAAGUAGAAAAGAGAAGAAUUUACCUCUUCAAGAGCACCAACAGAUCUCUUUAUAAAAUGAUUUUAACACUUACA